GAUGAACGCUGGCGGCGUGCCUAACACAUGCAAGUCGAGCGAAGCACUUUGCUUAGAUUCUUCGGAUGAAGAGGAUUGUGACUGAGCGGCGGACGGGUGAGUAACGCGUGGGUAACCUGCCUCAUACAGGGGGAUAACAGUUAGACAUGACUGCUAAUACCGCAUAAGACCACAGCACCGCAUGGUGCGGGGGUAAAAACUCCGGUGGUAUGAGAUGGACCCGCGUCUGAUUAGCUAGUUGGUAAGGUAACGGCUUACCAAGGCGACGAUCAGUAGCCGACCUGAGAGGGUGACCGGCCACAUUGGGACUGAGACACGGCCCAAACUCCUACGGGAGGCAGCAGUGGGGAAUAUUGCACAAUGGGGGAAACCCUGAUGCAGCGACGCCGCGUGAGCGAAGAAGUAUUUCGGUAUGUAAAGCUCUAUCAGCAGGGAAGAAAAUGACGGUACCUGACUAAGAAGCACCGGCUAAAUACGUGCCAGCAGCCGCGGUAAUACGUAUGGUGCAAGCGUUAUCCGGAUUUACUGGGUGUAAAGGGAGCGUAGACGGAUGGGCAAGUCUGAUGUGAAAACCCGGGGCUCAACCCCGGGGACUGCAUUGGAAACUGCUCAUCUAGAGUGCUGGAGAGGUAAGUGGAAUUCCUAGUGUAGCGGGUGAAAUGCGUAGAUAUUAGGAGGAACACCAGUGGCGAAGGCGGCUUACAGGACAGUAACUGACGUUGAGGCUCGAAAGCGUGGGGGAGCAAACAGGG
rnacentral:rRNA from 1 species